AUUGAACGCUGGCGGCAUGCCUUACACAUGCAAGUCGAACGGCAGCACGGGAGCAAUCCUGGUGGCGAGUGGCGAACGGGUGAGUAAAGUAUCGGAACGUGCCCAGUCGUGGGGGAUAACGUAGCGAAAGUUACGCUAAUACCGCAUACGAUCUAUGGAUGAAAGCGGGGGAUCGCAAGACCUCGCGCGAUUGGAGCGGCCGAUAUCAGAUUAGGUAGUUGGUGGGGUAAAGGCUCACCAAGCCGACGAUCUGUAGCUGGUCUGAGAGGACGACCAGCCACACUGGGACUGAAACACGGCCCAGACUCCUACGGGAGGCAGAAGUGGGGAAUUUUGGACGAUGGGCGAAAGCCUGAUCCAGCCAUGCCGCGUGCAGGAUGAAGGCCUUCGGAUUGUAAACUGCUUUUGUACGGAACGAAAAGGUUUGGCCUAAUAAGCUGAGCUCAUGACGGUACCGUAAGAAUAAGCACCGGCUAACUACGUGCCAGCCGCCGCCGUAA
rnacentral:rRNA from 1 species